CAGCCAUUUAUUUAGGCAUUAACUAACUAACUACCUACUAGCUAACUAACUUUUCUUUAGUAAGCAUUUGAAGACUCUGAGCCUGUUGCUGGGGUUACAGAAACAAGACAUGGUCUUGCCCUCAAGUUGCUCAGUCUUGUGUCUGAGACUGACAUGUAAGCAGAAAUUCAUAUAUAGUGUGAUGAGUGCCAUCACUGGAGAACAUUCAAGCGGAGGGGAGAAGAUUGCUUUUGGAGUGGGGAGCUCUUCACAGAAUGGACGUUUGCUAGGAGGGGUGGAGACUUACCAAGGGGCUGGGGUGGGCUGAAAUGGGAGUGCCUAUUGACAGUGCCUACUGACAGCGUGGUAGGGACGAAUGUACAGCAUUCAUGGACUGGGAGUGGCAGGCAGGUUGGGAGAGGGUGCAGGUGCUGGGUCUCGAGGGCCUGCAGAAGCCUUGCUGCAGGAUUUGGGUUGACUCUGCAGAUGAGGAAUGUGGAGAAGGGGUGUGAUAACAAUUGGAAUUGCAUUUUGAAAAAUAAUUCUGCUUGCUCUUCAGUGAAUGGACCAGAGGAAGUGAAAUGAAGAAAAGAGACCAAAUAGGAGGCUGUUGCUGUGGUCCAGGCAGGGGGUGCUGAUGGCAGGAGAUGCUGGAGGCCAGAGCCAGGGCGGGCAGUCACUGGUCAGCAGAGGAUGCCAUAUGCCCCGUCUGAAGAUAUUGGAAAGGAGGAGAAGAAAGAGGAAAGCAGAGAAGAUCGCCUCGCAGAGGCCAGGCUGCAGCCUGGGCUCCGUGCACCUCUGCCUGCUGACGGGAUCCACCUCAGGUCAAGAAGGUGCUGGCUCACCCUUCCCUCAAGAUUUUAGAGAUCCCAGUGCAUGUCCUGGAAAUCCUUUAAAAUUCAAAGAAAACAAGCAAAGCUCUGGCUAAUUAAAUGUUUUCUGCUUACCGUCGUUAACAUAUUAAUGCGACAGGCUAAAUGUAUUACUCAGUGGUGCAGAAGCUCUUAGGUCUGUGCACCCCUUUUUGAGAGGAUUUCUCCAUGUGGCAUCCGUGUUUACAGUGCACUGGCUUUCUGUUCAUAGGGCUUUUACGUGGGGGCGAUGGCAUGGCAGAAAGCAUCCCCAGGGUGAGAAGGGGAUGGGGAGGUCCACAUUGCAGUUCAGACCCCCUGGACAUCUGCCUUUGAGAUAGCCACGUCCCUGAGCCUUUCCUUUCAAAGGAUGGUGGGUCAGUUUCUAAUGUUCCCAUUUUGACCUCUCAGACUCAGGGACUGAGGCUAGAGCACAGGUCCUCUCGUUGAGGUCACUGUAGCGCUUCAGCGGCAUCAGCACUCUUGCUUUCUUUUGCACAUCCUUGGUUUUCAGUUAUUAUGGGUACACAGCGAGCCACCCCAAAAUUAGUACAACAAUAGCCAUUUUGCUGUGUUCAUGGAUUCUGUGGGUAAGGAAUUGGGAAGGAGCCCAGGGUGUGGUGCGUCAGUUGGGAAGAUUUGAGUUGAUAGUAGGUUUGCUCACUCCUGUGUCUGUGGUGCACGUGGCCUCUGUGUGGCUGGGCUUCCUUGCAGCAUGGCAUCCUGAGCCGCCUUCCACGGGGCCUUGCUCAGGGCUCCCAGCACAAGUGUUCCAGCCAACAGGGUGGAUUCCACAGCGCCUUUUCUGGCCCAGUCUCUGCCACAUUGAAUCAUCUGUACCUGGCGAGGUCCUGACUUCCUUUCUGCCAGAUCCUUCUCUGGUCCUCAAGGUCCCUUACUGUUUUUGCCCCUGGUUACAACCUCCUGUGUACCUGUCCUGGAGUGUUGUGGUUAGGAGUGUGGUCUCGGGCGCAGACUGAAAUACACUGCUGUGUGCAGUAGGAACCUUGGCUGCUGCCCUGUGUUCAUGGCAAGCACUUCAGAGCUGAGCCUGGUGUGAGGCGAGUCCUCCAUCAACGGCCUUGACUUUUCUUUCCCAGACUAAAGUGCAGGUUCCUUCAGGGAAGCUCUCUCUUGGUCAUCUCUGCCUGGCAUUUCCUGCAGGACUUGGCAAGUACUGCGUUCCCUCUGCUUGGGCGGUCUGCGCUGGGUCUGUCUCCUGUUCUGUAAGUCUCACAAAUUCACCCUCUCAGAGCAGCCGUCUCUGCCUGUCCCCUGCUAGGAGCUGUGGUGACCUCUACUCAUCUUGUUUCCUUUUGUUCAUGACACUAGCUCUAAUGAAAAUGUUUCAUCCCCUCUUUGUUUCUGUUAGACCAGGAUAUGAACCCCACCAGAGCCAGAUCUGGGCCUGUCUCCUUCCCUGCUAUUCAGUGCCUACAAGAGGGUCUGGGUCAAAAAUGAAUGGAGAGAAGGAAGGGAGGGGUAAAAAGAUCGACUUCAGGAAGAUUUCAGAAACACGGUGCUGAGAAUAGUAGGGUCAUGUACCAGGGUGGGAUUUACUUCCUUUUUAUACACUUAAAAAAUCUCAAAGAUAUCCAUUCAGCUUUCAGUUUAGGUGAAAUCUAUUCGUAAUAAAAAUAAAAUGAUAUCUCAACGACAACUUAAUUUUGAGUAAAAAUAUUUUCUGGAGGGCAGGGGGCUCUAAAUACAAAGAAGCAAAGAAGCGCAUCACCUCUCCCCAGUGGGGCUCAUGGCCCUCGAUGGAGCCACCUGGAGCCCAGGCACUUUGCAAUUUAUUCCUGGGUCGCCUCCACCUCCGUCCCUCAGUUAUGGGGCUGUGAUGGUCCACAGCAAGCCCCCAUUCUUGCUGCUCCACUGGUGUGAUUUUCUUGGGACCGAAAUGGGGAGAGGACAGGAUUGUGUGUUUUGCGAAAGCACAGCGUUGGACGUUCAUUGGUGUUCCUCUGUGCUUCCAUGACUUGAGGGCAACCAUCUAGCAGUUUACAGGGGUUCUGAAUAAAUUCCAGGGACCUGGAAAUUAUUGGAUUUAUUUUAUUUUAAGCAGAAACAUUUUAUGUUUAGUGUGGUAACGGCAUGCUCCACUUAGUGUGGUCAUGCCUAGCUCUCUUGUUUUGUGUCCACUUUGGAGUCUGGCUCUGGGCAAGCACUCAAAUGCUCAUAGGAAUCCCACGGCUCAGGGCAUCCUCUGAACCCAAGGGCCUCUAAAGGGGGAACAGCAACGUGGGAAUGUGGGUGGGGACAGCGAGUGAGGAGCCGGUGCAGGGUGACGGCAGGUGUAGGUUCUG
rnacentral:lncRNA from 1 species